UGGCGAGCAUGGCGCCGUCCGGGUCAAGCCGCAGCAGCUGCUCCACGAUGCGGCUGUAGGCCGUCUCGUGGCGCUUCUCGUCGGCGGCGAUGGUGCCGCAGGCGCGCGCCAGCACGUCGUCGCCGUGCGCCUUGGCGAGCCGCGCGGUGUUGCCGUGGGAGACGGCCGUGGCGCGCUCCUGGAAGCUCGUGUACACGAAGCCCAGGUACGGGUUGUUCUCCGUCCUCGGGUCCUGCAAUCGUUCAACAUGUCAGAUGAGAUUGUCUCAACAGAUUCGUUGAAGAAGCGAUGCCUCUGCGUACCAUGCCGGAGCCGAUGAGGUACUGGACGGUCUUCUCGACCAUGCGCAUGUCGACGCGGCCGGAGAGGUACAUGUACUUGUUGAGGACGUCGCCGUGGCGGUUCUCCUCGGCGGUCCAGGCGCGGGUCCAGACGGCCCAGGGGCAGGCGCUGGCGCCGGUCUCGUCCCGGACGCCGUCGAGGGUGUUGAUCAUGGUCUGGUACGUGGGCAGCGCCUCCUCGGUGACCAUGUCCCCGACCAGCACCACGAAGUACUCGUCGGGCAGCGCCGCCGCGCGGGCCCGCAGCUCGGCCACCUCGUGCUCGAACAUCUCGGACGAGGAGUCCGGCAGGAAGUCCGCCGGCUGCCAGAUGUCCUCCACGGGCCUGAGCAGCGGCAGCAGCGACGACCCCGCCCAGCCCCGCAGCGACUGGAACACCUCCGCCUUCUCCGGCGGCAUCGAGUGCGUCACGCCGCGCUGCACCGACGGCGCCGCCGCCACGGCGGACACGCGGCGGCAUUGCCGGCGCGGGAGGGGCAGCGCCGCCGCCGGGUGGCCGGGGACGCGGAGGAUGCUCUGGGCCUGCAUGGUGGAUAGCUCCCGAUCGAUGGGUGAGUUGUGGCGGCGCGGUGGUGUUGUGUUGCGUCGUCGGACUGCGACGGCUCCGUGUGUAUAUAAACUGCGGCGUGCGGGCGGUGCCACCGGAGAACCGGAGGCGUGGGUGACUGGCUGGUGGGCGGAAAACCAGUGGCAGUGGGUGCGUGCAGUGGUUUUGGGCGGGGAGCGGGGGCUGAUCCUGUGGGUGUUUCGGGCAGCGGCACCGUGGUCCGCCCCCAGGUUGAGCUACUACUACAGACGCAGUUGUCGAUCCGAUCCGACGCACUCAGAACAGCACGUGUUGGUUGGGUGGCUGGCCACACCCACGGUUGCGGCCGCCACGAGGCUGGUCACGUCCUCGGAGCAAAAUGUCCUCACAGCUGCACGAGUCAAAACCACCUCGGAAAUUUGGGACGGAGCGAUGACAAGAUGUUCACGAUUUUGAUGGUCGCAUGCUGUCUGAUUUUGGACAUUCAUUGGGUUGGAAAAAAGGUUAUGGUAGGUUGGAUGGAGAGAAACUCCAUAACAUCGUUUAAUGUCGUUGUAAAGGAUAUUUUCUUUUUUUGAGGGGUGCUGUAAGAGCAACUUUAGCAGACCCCGCAUCCGUCCCCGACACGUAAAAUAACCGUUAAAAUGCGGGUCGGGGCAGAAAAAAAUGUCCGAUCAAACCCCGCAUCCGCCCCGGUCCGCAAAAUAUUUUGGGCGGCGCUGCAAAUUCCCGACCCCAACCUCGAAAAACGCGGGUUUUCCCUUCGCGGCUGCGGUGCCCUGCAUCACAGAGAAGCAGUUGGCGGGAGGGACAUUUUAGCCUGUGUUUGUUCUCCUUUUCACCCCGCAGCCUCCCGGCACCACCGCCGUCUGCGAUUUUUUUUGAGAAACACGCGAGAUACACGGCGCCACCCCACCACUUGCCCUCUGAUUUCGGUCAUAUCCACCGUCGGAAUCAUGCCAUCGGACCACUCCAGACCCUGAUCCACCGCGUCACCUCCCCCCCCCCCAUCCGUCGAGCCGCGCCGACCCGGGUCGACCGCCCAGUCAUCAUUGGCCCACUUUUGCCUCAGAUUCACGAGUUUGCGACCGCCCUGGCCCGUCGUCGGUUAGUCCUUUCGUGCCCUUUUCUAGUUCGAUGUAGCGGCCGAUUUGGCGAAGAAAAUCCGUUCAUGCGAGCUCGGAUGUGUCAUUUUUGUAGAUGGAUUUGAGCCCUUGCGAGGAGUUUUUGCUCGGCAUAACGAGAGACGUCCGAGCCGACGUGUGUCACCUGCCGCCAUUGUACUAGGUUGGACGAUGGAUGAAAAGAGGUCCAGUGCCUCAAUUUAUAGGCACACAUGAAAAAUGUGAUGGCGGAAAAAUAGGUCGGGAACGGACGAAGUUUUAGGCGGGAAAAUACACAACAAUAAGUGUCAGCACAAUGUCAAGCGUUGCGUGGCAAUCAACAAAGUUUGUCGGCUGUGAUGAUUAUGUGCGCGUGCCAAUCAACAAAAUUUGUCGGGUGGCAGCAGCGCCACAUGCCACCUCGCCCGAUGGCGGUAGGGCCCACAUGCCCAUUUUUUGUUUCGUCACCGCUCGGGCGCGGACAAAAAUCCUGUGGCGGGUGGCUGGCCACCUCGCCAUGUGGAGGCAGGGGCUACCGUGCGGUCUUGUGCCACCACGUAGGUGCUCGUCUUUUUUGCCAAUCUGACUCACAUGUGGUUUCUUGUGUCGAUUGCGUUUGACAGGUGGUCCUUUUACCGAAAAAGGGUUUUUCCCCGAUUUGUAUACAAAGCAACCAACACCGUACAUAGAUCAUUGCUAGGGCGAACAGCACAUCAAUCCCAAAAACAAAAGAGAAACAAAUGCCAACAGCGUUAGCUCGACAAAGAGCGGAAGAUCCGCCACCGCUGUGCCUUCUAGAGACAAACCACCACAACCCGAGGCUCCGAACCGCCGCGUGCCAAGCAGCACCUCCAACAAGGGAUGCGAUGUCGACGCUGCUGCCCGGACGAGUCUAGGGUUUCGCCCGACACGUGGAAGAAGAUAGGGGACGGCUACUGUUGGAAAUAUGCCCNCCCCCCCCGCCGCCGCCGGGGAUCGACCACCGUCGAGCGCACCCCCCCCGGUCGCCGUCCGGGAUCACCCGCCACCGGUUAGUCCCUUUUUUGUGUUUUUUGCGAGCUGUGCGAGAAGAUGGAGUUGACCCCGUGCGAGAAGUUCUUACUAUCCGAUUCGUCCGAUUCGGACGGCUCGGAUGUUGAGACCAUGCUUGCGAACUUUCGGCAGCAAACAUUAGUCAUGGCGCUUGCCGUGAAGGAGCAUGAAGAUGAGAACCGGAAGAGGAGGCGGGGAUCGACUAUCGGGCGUUUGUGCAUUCCUCGAAAUCGCCAUCUUGGAAACGAGAUGUUGAUGCAAGANNNNNNNNNNNNNNNNNNNNNNNNNNNNNNNNNNNNNNNNNNNNNNNNNNNNNNNNNNNNNNNNNNNNNNNNNNNNNNNNNNNNNNNNNNNNNNNNNNNNNNNNNNNNNNNNNNNNNNNNNNNNNNNNNNNNNGUUGAUGCAAGACUAUUUCGCGGAGAAUCCUACAUGAUGAGAUGUCGAGAUGUUGAUGCAAGACUAUUUGGUGCCACCGAAACUCAAUAUAUUUCAACUUGAAUGGUGGGUCCAAAAUCACGGGAAUACAGAGGCUCAACCAUGUCAUUUUCCAAUACCUUUUGAAUUUUCUCUUCAUAUAUUUGACUGUUGUGCCCAUCUGAGAAUCCUCUUCAUAAUGUUGCUGCUCUAAGGCCAGCUUCACUUUCCACAUUUCAUGAAAAUACAAGUUAGAACUUGGAUAUUUUGUGCCGGAUAUCACAUUGGUGGCUUCAUAAAAUACCUUCAGCAGCCUACAAACAUCUUCGGCAUUUUCCCAAUCCUCAAAAGAUGGUUGGAAGGUAUAUUGUUUAUCUUGAACGGUCAAUGAGUGCUACUGCAACAAAAGACCUUCCAAUGGCGUCAGAAACGUGCUGACGGGAGACUGUUCUUGUCUUGAUACUCCUCAGCAACGGCAUCGGGAAUCCUUCUGCUACGGCUACGCCUUAAGGGACUUCCUAGGCAAAUAUGCAAAGGAUUUCUCCCGUGGCCUUGGAGCCUUGCGUUGGUGUUCCCUCGAAGCGGAAAGGGUGAUGUAACGCAGCGGUGGUAAGUAUUUCCCUCAGUUUUGAGAACCAAGGUAUCGAUCCAGUGAAGGAGUAUCACAAGUGCGUGCACAAACACAAAAAACUUGCUCCCAACGCUAUGAAGGGGUUGUAAAUCCCUUAUAGAUUGUUUGCCAAGUGAGAACUGAAAGCAACAAAGUAACAAAGCGAAGUAAAAACGAAAGUGGAAACAAUAGGGGUGAAUAGACCCGGGGGCCGUAGUGUUUACUAGUGGCUUCUCUCAUGAAAGCAAGUAGACGGUGGGUGAACAAAUUACUGUCGAGCAAUUGAUAGAACCGCGCAAAGUCGUGACGUCAUCUAUGGCAAUGAUUAUAUCUAUAGGCAUCACGUCCAAAACAAGUAGACCGAUACUUUCUGCAUCUACUACUAUUACUCCACACGUCGACCGCUAUCCAGCAUGCAUCUAGUGUAUUAAGUCCAAAAGAACAGAGUAACGCCUUAAGCAAGAUGACAUGAUGUAGAUGGACAAUCUCAUAUCUACGACAAAGCCCACCUUGUUACCCUUGAUGGCAACUACACGACGUGUGCCUUGCUGCCCCUACUGUCAUUGGGAAAGGUCACCACAUGGUAAGAACCCAAAACCAAGCACUUCUCUCAUUGCAAGAAUCAUAGAUCUAGUUGGCUAAACAAAACCCAAGACUCGGAGAGACUUACAAGGAUAUCAAAUCAUACAUAUAAGAAAUCAGCAAAGACUCAAAUAUAUAUCUUAGAUAAUCUGAUCACAAAUCCACAAUUCAUCGGAUCUCGACAAACACACCGUCAAAGAGGAUUACAUCGGAUAGAUCUCCAUGAAGAUCAUGGAGAACUUUGUAUUGAAGAUCCAAGAGAGAGAAGAAGCCAUCUAGCUACUAACUACGGACCUGUAGGUCUGAAGUGAACUACUCACGAGUCAUUGGAGGGGCAAUGAUGUUGAUGUAGAAGCCCUCCAACUCCAAAGUCCCCUCCGGCAGGGCACCGGGAAGGGUCUCCAGAUGAGAUCUCGCGGAAACGGAAGCUUGCGGCGGCGGAAAAAUGUUUUCGUGGAUUUCCUGAUUUUUUCUGUAUUUUAGGGAAUAUAUAGGCGAAGGAGCUAGGUCAGGGGGGCGCCAGAGAGGCCACAAGCCUGCUAGGCGCCGCCCCCUGGUGGCGGCUACAGGGCUUGUGGGCUCCCUGUAGCUCUCCUCGCUUGGCCCACAAGCCCCCUGAUCAUCUUCCGUUCGGGAAAAAAAUAUUUCGGGGAUUUUAUUCCGUUUGGACUCCGUUCCAAAAUCAGAUCUGAAAAAAGCCAAAAACACAGAAAAAACAGGAACUGGCACUGAAUUAAUAAGUUAGUCCCAAAAAAGAUAUAAAAGGUACAUAAAACAUCCAAAGAUGACAAGAUAACAACAUGAAACCAUCAAAAAUUAUAGAUACGUUUGAGACGUAUCAAUGAGUCAAACACUCCACGAUACUCUUUUGCUAUAUCAAUCAUCAUGUAGGUUGAGUUCCAUCGAGUUGGAACAUCAAGACUUGGAGUUUUCCUACAUUGUACACCAUGUUGCUGAAUGAUCUCUUGAAAUUUUUCCUUUCGACUCGGCGAGCUUCGAAUAUAUUUCACACUUCCACGUAUUAGAUUGAUCACUGGACCAAGGAAGUUCAAUCCUGCUUGACAUAUCAGAUUUAUGACAUGGGAAGCACACCGUUGGUGAAACAACUUGCCACCACCAACUAACAUAUUCUUAAGGAGCAGAUGUUUCCUCAAUAGCUUCAUCAUUGCACCAUUGUUGGAUGCAUUGUCGAGUGUCACAGCAAACAAAUUAUCUCCAAUGUUCCACUCUCUUACAAAAUUUACCAUGAUGUUGAACAUUGCAGCACCUGUGUGCGGUGUCUCCAUAGCUGCUAAUUUAACUAUCCUCUUAUGCGGCUUCCAUUCCUCGUCAAGGAAGUGAGCUGUUAUGCAAAUGUACCCGACUGUCUGAUUUGAUGUCCACAGGUCUGUAGUCAAAGAAAUCUUGGAUUUGGAGUUUUGAAACAUCCCUUGCAGAAUUCGCUUCUCUUCCUUAAAUGCUUUCAUGCAAUCAUCCUUCACUGUUUUUCUGCAUAUCAUCUUGAAAUUUGGAUUUAGACUAGAAACAAAUCUUCUGAAUCCAUCACACGCCACCAAUGAGAAUGCCAACUCAUGCAACACGAUCAUCCUCAUGAGCUCUCGACGUGCUAAUGCCGGAUUAAAGGUCCAAAGCCCCAUUGCAACUCCAUCCGGACUCACUAUAGAAGCACUCAGCUGCCGAGAAACUCUAAGAACCUUCUUCCUUUGCGCAAUGAACUUGUUCCAUGUUUACGCUCAGCACAAAUAUUCCUUGCACAAUGUUUACACUCAACAGCUACAACUAUGCCAUCAACACGAAUAGGCUCAUAUUCUUUCCACGCUUUAGACAAAAACUUUCUUCCUGGUUCAGAAAAUGAUCCCAUGUCAAUGAUCUCAACUCCUUCCUCUUCAUCUUCCUCCUCUUCUUCUUCUUCUUCUUCUUCCUCAUAUUCUUCUCCUUCCUCUUCUUCUUCAUAGUCAAUAUCUUCUUCAUCGGCCUCAUCUUCCUCAAAAUCAACCAUAGGAGUGUCAUGUGAACGCCCUGCUGAGUAAAGGACACAAGUGUUAACAUUGCAGUUAGAUAAUACACAAGUGCUAGUCUGGGCUCUGGGCUCGGCCCCUUAUUAAUCAAGUCACUCCAAAAUACACAAGUGCUAGUCUCGGCAAAGUUUGUGGAUUAAAAUACUCCAAGACCUUUAUGUAUUGUACAGGAACAUGCUCUCUAUUUUAAAACAUGUGGGAGGAUUCACUGUGUAACAAAUGUCAUUUUUUGUAUUAUCCUACUAUUUGUGAUUCUCUUUGCAACCUAUACUGUACUGCAUAUGGUACUUUAAAUCCAAGUAUACUGUGGUAGCGGUAUUAUGCGCAUAAUAUAAUGUAGUACUCCUGAAUUCAUGUGCUGCACUCCAACUUUUUUUCGCAGUCAAUGCAGCCAAAAGGUGCAAGAUAAGGAAAAAUGCAAAACAGAGCAUCAGCUAGAUUUUUGGAGGUUGAUACCGGCAAGAUAUAAGGUCACCAUGAUAAGCUUAAAAAUGCUCACCAAACCCAUAAGAUUAAAAAUGCUCACCAUGAUAAGUUUGCAAAUGUUUAUCGAAGACGGAGACAAUCCUGGAGGUGGUCGAGCCCUUCUCAUUGUUGCACCGGAUAUCAACGAUGAACUGCCACUUCGGUAUGUCUGAUGGUCCCCUUGUUGCUCUUCCAUGUUUCUGAUCAUAGAGAAAUAUAGGAUCAUUAGAAGGAUCAACAAACACUAAAAAAGAUUCUCUGUCUAGAACUGCUACUCAUUUGUACUGAAUCUACUGAUCAGCUGCCACUCAUUUUGCAGUAUGAGACAGAUCAUUUCCCUCUUGAGUUACAAGCGGUAUUAAUCCUAGUGACGAGCACGCUUGUGAGCACGAAUGAACACGGAGCCAAAGCCAGCCCAGCACGAAUGAACCUCCGCCUAUCUUUCAGAACAGAAGAACUGCGCUUUCUUCAGAUUCUAGGUCACGGCUAUGGCUUCUAGGAUCGCUGAUUCGGUGCUUUUCCAAGCUAGACAGAGAAUCUUUGGAAUAGUGCCGGGACUAGUACCUGGCGAGGCGGGUGUAGAAGAGCUGCUUGGAGAGCUCCCGGCGUCCAGCGGCAGAGGGCGACGGCGGAGAUGGCCUCGGGGGCGGCGGCAGAGAUGGUCGGCGGCGGCGGCGGAGAUGGCUUCGGGGGCGGCGGCGGAGAUGGCCUCGGGGGCGACGGCGGCGACCCGANNNNNNNNNNNNNNNNNNNNNNNNNNNNNNNNNNNNNNNNNNNNNNNNNNNNNNNNNNNNNNNNNNNNNNNNNNNNNNNNNNNNNNNNNNNNNNNNNNNNGAUCUAUCCCUAUAGAUCUUAAUGCCUAGAAUGUAAGCAGCUUCUCCUAGGUCCUUCAUAGAGAAACUUUUAUUCAAGUAACCUUUUAUGCUCUCCAAAAGCUCUACGUUGUUUCCAAUCAGUAAUAUGUCAUCCACAUAUAAUAUUAGAAACGCCACAGAGCUCCCACUCACUUUCUUGUAAAUACAAGAUUCUCCAACCACUUGUAUAAACCCAAAUGCUUUGAUCACCUCAUCAAAGCGUUUGUUCCAACUCCGAGAUGCUUGCACCAGUCCAUAAAUGGAUCGCUGGAGNNNNNNNNNNNNNNNNNNNNNNNNNNNNNNNNNNNNNNNNNNNNNNNNNNNNNNNNNNNNNNNNNNNNNNNNNNNNNNNNNNNNNNNNNNNNNNNNNNNNNNNNNNNNNNNNNNNNNNNNNNNNNNNNNNNNNNNNNNNNNNNNNNNNNNNNNNNNNNNNNNNNNNNNNNNNNNNNNNNNNNNNNNNNNNNNNNNNNNNNNNNNNNNNNNNNNNNNNNNNNNNNNNNNNNNNNNNNNNNNNNNNNNNNNNNNNNNNNNNNNNNNNNNNNNNNNNNNNNNNNNNNNNNNNNNNNNNNNNNNNNNNNNNNNNNNNNNNNNNNNNNNNNNNNNNNNNNNNNNNNNNCCACAAGUCGAGCUUUAUAAACGGUCACAUUACCGUCAGCGUCCGUCUUCUUCUUAAAGAUCCAUUUGUUCUGAAUAGCCUUGCGGCCCUCAGGUAGUAUCUCCAAAGUCCACACUUUGUUCUCAUACAUGGAUCCUAUCUCGGACUUCAUGGCUUCUAGCCAUUUGUUGGAAUUUGGGCCCACCAUUGCUUCUUCAUAAUUUGCAGGUUCAUUGUUGUCNNNNNNNNNNNNNNNNNNNNNNNNNNNNNNNNNNNNNNNNNNNNNNNNNNNNNNNNNNNNNNNNNNNNNNNNNNNNNNNNNNNNNNNNNNNNNNNNNNNNCUCGGCCUUCUUGAUCCAGCAAGAGAGACGGAGAGGUAGAAGAGUUCUCCGGCAGCGUGACGGCGCUCCGGAGGUUGGUGAUGAUCUCGUCUCAGCAGGGCUGCGCCCGAGCUCCGCAGAAACGCGAUCUAGAGGAAAAACUAUGGAGGUAUGUGGUCGGGCAGCCGUGAGAAAGUCGUCUCAAAUCUGCCCUAAAAGCCCCAUAUAUAUAGGAGGAGGGAGGGGGACCUUGCCUUGGGGUCCAAGGGACCCUCAAGGGGUCGGCCGAGCCAAGGGGGGGAGGACUCCCCCCCCAAACCGAGUUGGACUUGGUUUGGUGGGAGGAGUCCCCCUCCCUUCCCACUUCUUCCCUCUUUUUUUUUUCCUUUCAUUUCCUUCUCUUGGCGCAUAGGCCCCCCUUGGGGCUGUCCCACCAGCCCAAUAAGGGCUGGUGUGUCUCCCCAAAGCCUAUGGGCUUCCCCGGGGUGGGUUGCCCCCCCGGUGAACUCCCGGAACCCAUUCGUCAUUCCCGGUACAUUCCCGGUAACUCCGAAAACCUUCCGGCAAUCAAAUGAGGUCAUCCUAUAUAUCAAUCUUCGUUUCCGGACCAUUCCGGAAACCCUCGUGACGUCCGUGAUCUCAUCCGGAACUCCGAACAACAUUCGGUAACCAACCAUAUAACUCAAAUACGCAUAAAACAACGUCGAACAUUAAGUGUGCAGACCCUGCGGGUUCGAGAACUAUGUAGACAUGACCCGAGAGACUCCUCGGUCAAUAUCCAAUAGCGGGACCUGGAUGCCCAUAUUGGAUCCUACAUAUUCUACGAAGAUCUUAUCGUUUGAACCUCAGUGCCAAGGAUUCGUAUAAUCCCGUAUGUCAUUCCCUUUGUCCUUCGGUAUGUUACUUGCCCGAGAUUCGAUCGUCAGUAUCCGCAUACCUAUUUCAAUCUCAUUUACUGGCAAGUCUCUUUACUCGUUCCGUAAUACAAGAUCCCGCAACUUACACUAAGUUAUAUUGCUUGCAAGGCUUAUGUGUGAUGUUGUAUUACCGUGUGGGCCCCGAGAUACCUCUCCGUCACACAGAGUGACAAAUCCCAGUCUUGAUCCAUACUAACUCAACUAACACCUUCGGAGAUACCUGUAGAGCAUCUUUAUAGUCACCCAGUUACGUUGCGACGUUUGAUACACACAAAGCAUUCCUCCGGUGUCAGUGAGUUAUAUGAUCUCAUGGUCAUAGGAAUAAAUACUUGACACGCAGAAAACAGUAGCAACAAAAUGACACGAUCAACAUGCUACGUCUAUUAGUUUGGGUCUAGUCCAUCAUGUGAUUCUCCCAAUGACGUGAUCCAGUUAUCAAGCAACAACACAUUGUUCAUAAUCAGAAGACACUGACUAUCAUUGAUCAACUGGCUAGCCAACUAGAGGCAUGCUAGGGACGGUGUUUUGUCUAUGUAUCCACACAUGUAAAUGAGUCUUCAUUCAAUACAAUUAUAGCAUGGAUAAUAAACUAUUAUCUUGAUACAGGAAUUAUAAUAAUAACUAUACAUUUAUUAUUGCCUCNNNNNNNNNNNNNNNNNNNNNNNNNNNNNNNNNNNNNNNNNNNNNNNNNNNNNNNNNNNNNNNNNNNNNNNNNNNNNNNNNNNNNNNNNNNNNNNNNNNNGUCUGGAGAUGGCCUCGGCGACGCGCGGCGGCGACCCGUGUCUGGAGAGAGAUCGACUAGCUGACUACUAGGGUCUGGAGAUGGUCCUGGGUCAACCCGUGUGAUCCAUUGGGUCAUACGGAGUCGGCUUCAUUGGGUUGACCCGGCCCAUUCCCAUCUUGACCUGACAGUAGGAAGGGGGCCGUUAUGAUGCCCUGUGAGCCGUCGAUCAGAAAUCGAUGCCGAGGAGGUCAAGCUGGUGAAGUGUUUUUUUUGAACCAAGCUGGUGAAGUGGUUGGUACGCCGAGCCGUUUCUGCACGUAAAGUGUCUAUUUUCUUCAGAAGAUUUAGAGUUGAGUGCUAACAGUUCCCCAUAUUGAGAGUGCACUUGUUCAAGGGGUGAAUGGAAGGAAAACCUUUUGAAUACAAGCUUUAUUUUACCAACAACUCCCUCUGUUUCUAAAUAUAAGUCCUUUUAAAAAUUUCAACACAAACUAUAUACUGGAGUAUAUAGACGUAUUUUAAAGUGCAGGUUCAUUCAUUUAGUCUGGAAUCCUUCAUGAAGCACGGGCGCCCUAGGCUGUUUAUGAGGGAGUGUCGGUCAGCCCAGAUGUUCCACGCAUGUUUAUAGCGUCCGUCUGGGUUGCAUUUUCGUGACCAGUCAGUGACCGGACCGUUCGCCCGAACGUUUGUGUAGCAGCCAUGUAAAACUUGCAACAACAAAGUAGAGGGUGUCUAACUUUUUUUGCACGGUAUGUUGUGAUGUAAUAUGGUCAAGACGUGAUUUGCUAUAUGUGAUGUAUGAGAUGAUCAUGUUUUUUAAUAGUUAUCAUGACUUGCAUGUCGAUGAGUUCGGCAACCGACAGGAGCCAUAGGGUUGUCUUUAAAUUAUUUCAUGCCAUUUCUUUACUUUAUCACUAUGAGUUAGCAAUAUUUGUAGAAUCAAUAGUUGGCGAGGCAACCAUGUGAUGACAUAAUGAUGUAGAUCAUGGUGUCAUGCCGAUGAAGAUGGAGAUCAUGUCGAUGCCUUGGAGAUGGAGAUCAAAAGCAUAAGAUGAUGAUGGCCAAUUGGCCAUAUCAUGUCACUUAUUGAAUGCAUGUGGUGUUUAUCUUUUAUGCAUCUUAUUUUGCUUAAUUGGGACGAUGGUAACAUUAUAAGAUGAUCCCUUCACUUAAUUUCAAGAUAAAAUGUGUUCUUCCUAAGUAUGCACCGUUGCUUAAGUUCGUCGUUUCGAAGCAUGACGUAAUGAUCGGGGUGUAAUAGACUUUUCGUUCACAUACAAUGGGUGUAAGAAAGUUUUACACAUGUUGAAUACUUGGGUUAAACUUGGCAUGCCUAGCAUGUACAAACAUGGCAGCGAAACACAGGAAACCGAAAGAUCGGAUGAGUCAUAUAGUAGAUAUGAUCAACAUGGAGAUAUUCACCAUUGAAACCACCUCAUCUUACGUGAGGAUCGGACUUGGGUUGGUGAAUUUGGAUGAUGUCACACUUACACAACCUGAGGGGCAUUGGUUUAAAUGGGAGUUCAUUAGCAAUUUGAUUAACUGGACUUAAUAUCAUGAAGAUAGUCAAAAUGCCUUAGCAAAUUAGGUUGUAGAUCAAUGGCUUGCGAUGUAGCUCCCCUAGUUUUUUGGGUACGUUCCUAGAGAAAAUUAAGUUGAAAAAUGAUCGUAAAAAUUAUGCGGACUGGGUCCAUGAUCUGAGGAUUAUCCUUGUUACUAUACAUAAGGCUUGUGUCCUUCAUGCACCACUUGGUGCGCCACCCCCUCAAGCAUAAUAUGUGGAUGUUGUGAACGUCUCAUAGGAACAUUAUAAUGACUACUCGAUAGUUUAGUGUGUCAUGCUUUACAGCUUAGAACCGGGUCUCCAAAGACUUUUGAGUACCACACAACAUGAGAUGUUCCUAGAGUUGAAAUUGGUAUUCAGGCUAACGCCCGUGUCGAGAGGUAUGAUACCUCUGACAAAUUAUUUUCCUACAAUAUGGAGGAGAAUAGCUCAAUCACUGAGCAUGUGCACAGAGUGUCUGAGUACUACAAAUUGCUUGAAUCAAGUGAAAGUUAAUCUUCCAGAUAAGACAAUGAUUGACAAAGUUAUCCAAUCACUACCACCAAGCUACAAGAGCUUUGUGAUGAACUGUGACAUGCAAGGGAUGGAGAAAAUGCCCCCUUAGCUAUUCAUGAUGCAUAAAGCCGUGGAGGUAGAAAUCAAGAAGGAGCAUCAAGUGUUGAUGGUUAAUAACACCACUAGUGUCAAGAAGGGCAAGGGAAAGAAGCUAAACUUCAAGAAUGGCAUGCCAGUUGCCGCUGCUAUGAAAAAAAUCCAAGGUUGGACCCAAACCCGAGACUGAGUGCUUCUGGUGUAAGGGGGAACAAUCACUAGAAGCGUAAUUGCCCUCACAUACUUGGCAGAUAAGAAGGCUGGCAACGUAAACAAAGGUAUAUUUGAUAUACAUGUUAUUGAUGUGUACCUUACAAGUUCUCGUGGUAGCCCCUGGGUAUUUGAUACUGGUUCAGUUGCUAAUAUUAGUAACUCAAAAUAGGAGCUGCGGAAUAAAUGAGACUGGCUAAGAACAAGGUGAUGAUGCGUGUUGGAAGUGUCUCCAAGGUUGAUGUGAUCGCCAUCGGCAUGCUCGCUCUACCUUUGGGAUUAACUUUAAACCUAAGUAAAUGUUAUUUGAUGCCUGCAUUGAGCAUGAACAUUAUAUUGAUCUUGUUUAUUGCGAGACAAUUAUUCAUUUAAGUUUGAAAAUAAUGGUUGUUCUCUUUACAUGAAUAAUACCUUUUAUGAUCAUGCACCCAAUAUGAAAGGUUUACUGAAUCUCCUUUGUAUUGACACACAUGUUCAUAAUAUUGAUAUCAAAAUAUGCAAAGCUAAUGAUGAUAGUGCUUAGAUCAUAUUGGUGUAAAGUGCAUGAAGAAACUCCAUGCUGAUGGAUCUUUGGACCCACUCGUUUUUGAAUCGCUUGAGACAUGUGAACCAUGCCUCAUGGACAAGAUGACUAAGACCUCAUUUUCUAGUACGAUGGAGCGGGCAAGUAAUUUAUUGGAAAUAAUAUAUAUUGAUGUAUGCAGUCUAAUGAGUGUUGAAGAACCAUUGUUAAGGAAAUCGUUAACUCGUAGCUGCUUAGUUGGCUCGCGAGUAAGGGAUUAAUGGGCUAAUCGACAAGUUAAUAGGACAUUUAAUUAAUUAAAUGGACGGUUUUUCUAUUUAUCGCCUACUCGGUGACCCUAUGAGUAGGGAUUAAUCGGCAAGUUAAUUGGUUAAUCGGACGAAUUCUUGAACAGGGUGAAGAACAAGGUUGAUCGUUAUUAUCUUACCUUCACAACUGAUUUGAGUAGAUACGAGUAUAUUUACUUCAUGAAACACAAAUCUGAAAUUUUUAAAAGUUCAAGCAAUUUUACAGUAAAGUUCAAGAUCAUUGUGACAAGAAGAUAAAAUGUCUAUCAUAUGAUCGUGGAGGUGAAUAUCCGAGUUAAGAAUUUGGUAUGCAAGACAAUAUGGAAAUUGUUUCACAACUUGCGCUACCUGGAUUACCAUAAUGUAAUGGUGUGUCCAAACAUCAUAACCGUACUCUAUUGAAUAUGGUGAAUUCUAUGAUGUCUCUUAUUGAUUUUUCAUUAUCGUUUUGGGGUUAUGCAUGAGAGACUACUACAUUCACUUUAAAUAGAGCACUAUCUAAAUCUGUUGAGACGACACCGUAUGAAAUAUGGUUUGGCAAGAAGCCUCAACUGUCGUUUUUUACAGUUUGAGAAUGCGACUCUUAUGUGUGAUAAGCUCAAACCCAAAGAAGAAAAGUGCAUGUUCAUAAGAUACCUUAAAGCAACAAUUGGGUAUACCUUCUAUCACAGAUACGAAGAAAAGGUCUUUGUUACCAAGAAUGUAUCCUAUCUAAAGAAGGAGGUUCAGGUUCUCUCGACUGAAGUGAGUCGGAGGUUACCUGAAAAAGAAGGCCAAACUCCGACCGAUCGUAUUGAUUAUGUGAGAGCAUCUACAACCAUACCCCUCAUUUCCAUCUCAAACGUCUGAGCCAGGCGUCCGAUCAACGAUCGGUCAUAAAAUGCGACCUUACUGAACCCCUUAUACCCGUCUCAAAUACCCAGACUGACUAGCACCCCUCAUAUCCAUUUUAAAUAUGAGGACGAUAUAAGGGUUCACGGAUGCAUGUAGGAUGCGACCCCACCUAAGACAACAUUUUCUUUUUCUUAUUCAUUUUUUUCUUUCUCUCUUUUCUUCUUCACCACUUACGUGCAAGUGACUAGACAUAUGAAAAAAAAUAUGAGAAGUACCUGUUACGCGAACAAAAAAGUAAGGGCUUAAAACAGACACGCACUGUCACUGAUCGGACAUGUUUGCAAGCGAAUAGAGGAUCAUAUUACUAAGUCCGACUGUAGAUGCUCUGACUGACGUUGAUGACGUUGAUGGAGACGGAGAUGAAUUUUUUUUGCUUUUUUUUCUUGUGAAAGGAACAAUAUCAUUACUUAAGUAGAGUUAUUACAUUCAAGUUGAUAUAGAGUCUCAACUUCCUCAGACGCACAACACAAACAGACAACAACUUUAGGGAGAGUUUUGUACAUACAGGCUAGAAUGUGACUAGCUUUGUUUUGGACACAUCGUACAAGCUUUAUUUCAUGUGUUCUAGAGCUCAAUGAGUGCUUUAUGUUAUUCUCCAUAGCAGCAGCCGGGGAUCUAUCACGAACUUGGGAAGUAAUCGUGAGUGUUGCCGCCAUGCAGCCCGUCUCGAUCAACAGCCGGUUUGUUCUCCUAUCCACCGCGAGAGACACCCCUUCCAUGAUAGCUGCAAUCUCAGCUUCAAUCCCACUUGCAUACCGAGGGUUGAAACGGCAUGAGGCAAAGGGCAAAACUUUGUGUUUUAACCUUUUGGACAAAGAAAAUACAGUUUUGAUCUCCGUUUGAAAAUAAUUUCAAAUCUGACCUCUUUACGUGACGACAACGUCCCUGACGUCUGGGUUGCACUCGAAACGUCAGGGACCAUGGCGUCUGGUACGGGCCUACAUGACCGGCUGACUUGCUGAGUUUCUCACGUGACAUGGUACCAAACGCCAGGGACCCUGGGACCACACGCCAAGGACCCUGACGUUUGGUAGCAGAUCACACCAUUUUUUUUAAAUAAUGCGUGCCACGUCAUCCAAACGUCAAGGCCCUCGGCGUUUGGUACCAGACGCCAGGGUCCCUGACGUUUGGUACCAUGCCACGUUAAAAACUUAGCGGGUCAGCCGGUCAUGCCACCCCGUACCAGAUGCCAGGAACCUUGGCGUCUCGCAUGCAAACCAGACGACAGAGAUGUUGGCGUCAGGAAAAGAGGUUAGAUUGAGAAUUUUUUUGAAAACGAAGUCAAUUCUGCAUUUUCUUUACUCCAUAGGUCAAAACAGAAAAUUUGUCCGAGCAAAGAUGAUGCCCCUGUACAGUCCCGAAGAAUCAUGCCAACUCCACCUGUACUCUCCUCCUCCAACUAUGUACCAUCAGUGUUAAGCUUCACCUAUCCCAGUAUUGGUGGUGUCCAUCGCAGUAACGCCCAAGAUGCGGUCCUAUCCUUAUUUAGGCAUGAGUGCCUCGACAGGGAUAGAAGCGCAUCUCGUCGUUUCGCAAGAAUGUAUAUCGUUACAAGUACAUGUACUGAAAAGAUGAGAUAUAUGGAAUUGGCUUACACUCGCCACAUGCUACAUCAGAGUCACAUCAAUACAAUACAUAAAUAUCAUGAAGAAGAGCAGGGUCCGAUACGGACGAAAACAAACGAGAAAAGAAAAUGACGUCCAUCCUUGCUAUCCCAGGCUGCCGGCCGGGAACCCAUCCUAGGUCGAUGAAAAAGAAGAAGAAGAAGCAACUCCAAAUGAACAAUCAACGCGCUCGCGUCAAGUAACCUUUACAUGUACCUGCAACUGGAGUUGUAGUAAUCUGUGAGCCACACGGAACUCAGCAAUCUCAUUUCCAAAGGUAUCAAGACUAGCAAAGCUUAAUAUGUGAGGUAUGGCUAAGUGGUGAGGCUGCAGCAAGCGACUAAGCAUAUAUUUGGUGGCUAACUUACGAGUACAAGAAUAAGAGGGGGGUGAUCUACGCAUAGCAGACGUGAUCUACUGAUGAUCAAAUUAAUGAUCCUGAACACCUACUUACGUCAAAUAUAACCCCACUGUGUUCUCGACCGGAGAAGGAACUCGCGAAAGAGACAGUCACGGUUACGCACUAAGUUGACAUAUUUUAAUGAAGUUAACUUCAAGUUAUCUAGAACCAGUGUUAAAUAAAGUUUCCACGUUGCCACAUAACCGCGGCACGACUUUUCGAAAGAUUUAACCCUGCAGGGGUGCUCCAACUAGUCCAUCACAAAUUACCAAAAGUCGCAUAGAAAUCCUCGAUCACGAAGCUCGCGAUCUCGUCAGACUUCUUAGUGGAAAACCUCAACUCUGAGAUUACCCAAAGCAUCACCGGGAUCCCGAUGCACAAGAUAUUUCGUAAAAGGUAAAACUAAUCCAGCAAGACCGCCCGAUGUGUCGACGAUCCCGAUAGGAGCCGCGUAUCUCGUUCUCAGGACACGACAUAUGAGCUAGACGUCGGGUUCGCUAAACCCUGGGUGACCAGGGGGCGCCGGACAUCGCUCAGGUGGGACCAACUCUCAUGAGGAUCGCUGACCCGGGGAUUGAUUAAAUUACUCCGCGGGUGCCGGCGGGUCCCUAUGCAUUAUUAUUAGGUUAUUAGGCAAAUGUAGAACCAAAGUUGGGCCUUGCCAGACCAGUUUUAAUCUAAGACGAAUUAUCAAAGGGGUCCCCAUAACAACCCCGAUCGUGUUAGGAGUGCUCAGUUAUGGAACAUAACACCGAUAGCCGAAACUAAGGGGGCAAAGGUGGAACAAAACACGAGGCUAGAAAGGCCGAGCCUUCCACCUUUUACCAAGUAUAUAGGUGCAUUAAAUUAAAUAGCGGUUAAUAGGAUGAUAUCACAAGGAACCCAUGUUAUCACAUGGAAGCAUCUGCACCCGCAACUAGCAACGCUAACACAUGGUUAAGCAAGCGGUAAUAUAGCCAAUUAGUGGUUUGCUAGGUUGUGAAUAGGUUGAAGGUUUUCAUGACAAUGUUGAGAGGCUGAUAUUUAACAGGUGGUAGGCAACGAGACAUAGCGACAGAAACGAUAAUACUAGCAUGGCAAUGAUAGUAAUGGUAUCUGGGGAAAUGGUCAUCUUGCCUGAGAUCCCGCUUGGAAGAAGAAUGACUCCGUGUAGCAGACGAACCGAUGUAGUCGAACGGGUCCUCACAUUCUGACACGCUUGCAAAACUCUAUCGAGACGAAGGAAACCGGAAACAAGCAUCAACACAGAUAUUCACCACGGUACAUGCACAACAAAAUGCAAUUCACAAUGAUGCAUGAUCAGUUGAAUAUAUGCAAGACAUGACAUGUCAAUGCACAACAAUCAAACGCUACACAUUAAGUGAAAUUCAAUAUGCAACGAGUUGCAUAUUGACGAAACUCUACCUACGAAUUAUUUAGUUCUAUCCCGAUUAGGUACAUGACAAUAUUAAUUGUGGUUAAACAUAGCAAGAGGUGAAGCGAAUUAAACUAUCUAUAUAGGCAUUUAAAAUGAGGUCGGAAAAGACAUAUAGCAUUUCCAAGGUGACCUCAUGCGUUAAUUUGUAAUUCUGUACGGAUCUGAAUUAACAUGUUUUAAUAUUUGUUAAACAGCAAAAUAAAUAGGUUCACGUGAUUCUACGCAUCGUUCCAAUCAAUUUACACAUAGAGAACAUCUCCAACGGAGCUACGGUUCAAAAGAUACGAACACCGCAAGAUAUGAUGGCAUGGAUGCAAAAUAUGUGCAACGACAGCCACAAGCAUUUAAAAACCCACAACCAACAAGAUAUUAUGAAACUACAUGAGAUUCUAAGCAAGUUUCAUAUAGGACACGAUCAAAACGGAGCAACGGUUCAACAACUAUGAGCUAAACAAGAAAUAGACAUAAUCUGCCAAAAUCAGCCACAUAGCAUUUUCUACACCCUCGAACAACUAGCUACACAAAUCCAAAAUGCUCAACCAAGGCAUGCGACAGUAGAGGGAAAGAUGCAUUACAACAUACUACCAAUAAAAUUUAGCAUGGAAGCACGGAUCACUAGGAAAAGAACUCACAAAAGGGCAUGUCACACACAUGUUCAGACUUAGUGAAAUAUCAGUUUAUGACAGUGCAGUUUACGAUCUGAAGGCAUAUUGACAGCAACAAAACUAUAUGCUACACGUAUCCAAAUGGCAUGAAAAUUGACGGCAUGCUAGAGAAUCUUAAAGUCUACAACUAACUCCAUUGCACUAACUUCAAAAGAGCUACAGAUCACUAGAUAAACUCAUGGAAAGACAACAACAAAUUAUAACAGAUUUCAGACUUAGAAAUAUUUCAGCAUCUCCAAACAACACUAUUUUCUACCAUAUUGAGAACAAGCAAAUAACACCUAAACAUGGAUUUGUAUUACAACCAAAAUUACCAAAGGCUAGCUUACACAUCCAAGGGCAUAUCUCUAGUUGACAACUCCUUCAUAUCAUGCACGGUUUAAAUCACACAAAAUAGACAAGAGGGCAACAUGGCAAAAUAUCACGUGCACUAACUUGCUCAAAAGUUAAAAAUAAAAUGCGCAGUUAAAUUCUAUGGAUUUUUCUACCCCGGAAACAUAUAUAACAUGUGAGGUUGCAAAAUAAAAAUAACGCCACACGAAUAUGCGAGAUUAUGUCCUAAACACGAUAUAACAAACUAUCGACGGAGCCUACAUGCAAAAAUGCAAACAACUACUCUAAAAUACAUGGAAAAAGGUCCCUAAAACAUGAGCAUUUAAACUACGGGGUUCGAGCAAUCCGGACACGCACGAGAAUAAAUACGGGAUAAGCAACCUAUUAGGACAACACACAAAAUUAGGCAUUUGGCAGGUCAAACUACUUCAAACAUGCAUGCAAGUUGCAAAAUCAUAAUCUACCCGGAAAACUAAUCAAGUUACAUAUAUAGAUCAUCUCGAACCGACGCUCGGUUAAUUAACUACGGGCGUUUGAAAUAUCUAAUAUAUUCCUGAAAAAUAAUUUAAUCACAUGUAAAAUACUAAAAUCUAAUCGGGCCGAAACUGAGGGGGCAGGAUACUAUCUUGCGCCACGGGCGAGGAAUAGACGAGGGGAGGCCUCACCUUGGGCCGUGGGUGGCGCUUGGAGAUGGGCCACGAGGCGUGGCAGGCCGAGGCAAACGGAGACGAGGGCGCGGCCCACCUGCGUGUUGGGGCGGCCCACGCGGUGGUCAACGGGGCUCGUCGUCUCGAUCGACUAGCACGGCAGCGCCAGCGGCUCCUGGCGGCGAACCCGACGACGACAGCAAGGCAGGGGCGAGGCUAGAGCGGGCCGGGAACGGACAGGGCGGCGGAGGCCGAGGGCGGCGGCGUAUCCGGCUUGGACCGAUGCGGUGACGGAUCCCGAGCACAUCGGCCGACUCACCUGGAUCGGGGGUUUCGGGUCGAUGGCGGCAGGCGACGCUCCGGCGACGCGGACUCGGUGCGGGGCAGAGCUGGAGGCGGCGGGAAGCUGCGGAACCGGCGGUGGAGGUUCGGCCGGUGCACGAGGCAGGGCCGACAAGGCUUCCCGGGGCAUGGCGGCGGUGGCGGGAGGAGCUGCAGAUCGGGUGAGGCCCGAUUCGGGCCCAAGGCAGGCUCCAGAUGGGCUUUGGCGGGCCCGGCGGCUGGAGGGAGGAGAGGAGGGGGGGGUGGAGCUAGGGUUAGGCACGCAAGUCGAGGAGGAGAGAGAGAGGCUGUCUAAAAAUGGCAUGGGGUGUAUUUAUAACAAUGGGGGGGCUAGGUUUAGCAGUAUUUCGCCCCGGUUUCAACCGCACGAUCUAAAUCGGACGAUCUCGAACGCGGGGACGGCUAAGAGGCUGUGUAGAGUAGGUUAGCCGGAGAAGAGAGGGAAACGACACCCGACAACGUGAUUUUUAAAACACCAAAAAACGUCCGACAAUAGACCGAAUACGGUGCCGCUACGGUCGACCGUUCGGGUACCAGACGGACUCCGAUUGCGACGAAAUUUGGCAGGUGGCCUACCUACAUCCAAAUAAGACCGCACGCCAAGUUUCAACCCAAACAGAGGAAGUUUUAUACACACUUUUAAAAACAUGAUUUCAACGAUGUCGUGGGCGCGUGCGUGUGUGGUCGGGCUCAACACGGGCAACGACGAACACGGAGAGAACCGACAACUAAUAACGAAUGCAACUUUUGAAAACUGGCGGCAACAGGAUGCCGAUGCAAUGCAGAUGUUGUGAAUGAUGCGAUGACGAAUGCGACACAAAUAAGCCACACGACGAAAACGGAAUAAAGGGGGAAUCUUCUGGAACGUCGGUCUCGGGCUGUCACAAUCGCUCAGGGGGUUUGUGUCGUAACAACAUUUCAUUUGAUUUUUUCUUUCUGUCAAGUCCAAUGAAGGAGACCACCGUCUUCCCCUUCUCCAUAUCUGUCACUCCGUACGACAUGGCUCAAGACUGGAAUUUGUCACUCCUUAUGACGGAAAGGUAUCUCUGGGCCUUCUUGAUAAUAUAAUGUCACAAGAAGCUUGCAAGCAAUAUGACUAACGGGUUAGUCAUGGGAUCUUGUAAUACGGAACGAGUAAAGAGACUUGUUGGUAAUGAGAUUGAACUAGGUAUGAGAUACCAACGAUCGAAUCUCGGGCAAGUAACAUAUCGCUAGACAAAGGGAAUUGCAUACGGGAUUAACUGAAUCCUUGACAUCGUGUUUCAACCGAUGAAGAUCUUCAUGGAAUAUGUAGGAACCAAUAUGGGCUUCCAGGUCCCGCUAUUGGUUAUUGACCAGAGACGUCUCUUGGUCAUGCCUACAUGAUUCUCGAACCCGUAGGGUCGCAUGAUUAACGUUCGAUAACGCUAGGGUAAUGUUGGAACAUUAAUAGUUUAAAUUCUGAAAGUUUUUGGGAGUCCUAGAUGGGAUCCGGGGUAGCACGAGGAGCUCCGAAAUGGUCCAAAGAUAAAUAUUUAAAUAUGAGAAGUCAUAUUCAGGGUUCCAAAAAAGUUCGGGAAUUUUUUGGUAGAGUACACGAAGGUUCUGGGGGUUCCACCAUGGGGACCAACGAUUCGUGAAGGGCCCACAUGGACAGAGGGGUGGGAUAUAUCCCACAUGGGUGGCCGCACCAUUCCCCAAGGCACAUGUCGUUUAAAUCUAGAGAUAAGAUCUUAACUCUAAAUUUAAAGGUUUGAAUCUAGAGAUAGGAUGUUAUCUUCAUGUAUAAAGGGUUUUAUCUCUUGUGGCCGGCCGAAUGAGGGUUUUGGACGCCCUCCCCUGCCCUAUAGCCUAUAUAUAGAUGGGGGAGGUGCAUGGGGGCAGCCAACCCUUCACCAUUGGCCACUGGCUCUCCUAAUUCCUCCCACGUUUCUGUGUUAGGCGCUUGGCGAAGCCCUGUCGGAAUUCUGCUGCCACCACCACCACCAUGCCGUUGUGUUGGUUCAUAUCUCAUCUAAAUAUUCUUCCUCUCUUGCUGGAUCAAGGAGGAUACGUCACUGAGUCGGACGUGUGGUAAAAGCGAAGGUGACACACGUGCGAUGCUUGGAUAGGAUUGUAUCGCGACGCGGGUAUGAUUACGCCAAUCACGAUCUCUAGAUCGUUAACUCUUUUGGUCUACAAGGGUAUGUAGACACCUCUCCCUCUCAUUGAUAGCGUCUCCAUAGAACAGAUCUUGGGUGUAUCGUAGGAAAAAAAAUGUUUCCCAUGCAAUGUUCCCCAACAAUGGCACCAUGAGGUAGGUCUAUGUGUAGAUGAUAUGCAUGAGUAGAACACAAAGUGUUUGUGGGCGUUGAUGUUUACAUUUCUUACCUCCUUAGUCUUAUUUUUAUUUAGUGCUACUAUAGGACAAAGUGGCUCGGACCAACCUUACUUGUCCUCGCACAAGAGACCGGUUCCACCGACUGACAUGGAACUUGUUUGCAUAAAGGUGGUUAGUGGGUGUUUGUCUCUCCCACUUUAAUUGAAUCGGAUUAGAUAGAGGCGGUCCUUGUAGAAGGUUAAAAGUCAACUUGAAUAUCACUAUUGUGGAUUUCCGUCAGUAAGGACGGUUCUUGCUAGUUGCCCAUAGCAGCCACGUAAAACUUGCAACAACAAAGUAGAGGGCGUCUAACUUGUUUUUGCACGGCAUGCUAUGAUGUGAUAUGGCCAAGACGUGAUUGUAUAUAUGUGAUGUAUGAGAUGAUCAUGUUUUGUAAUAGUUAUCACGACUUGCAUGUCGAUGAGUACGACAACAUGCAGGAGCCAUAUGGUUAUCUUUAGUUUAUUUUAUGCCAUGUGCUUUACUUUAUCGCUAUGAGUUAGCAACAGUUCUAGAAGCAAUAGUUGGCGCGACAACCACAUGACGACACGAUGAUGGAGAUCAUGAUGUCAUGCCGGUGCUGAUUGAGAUCAUGUCGGUGCUCUCGAGAUGGAGAUCAAAAGCACAAGAUGAUGAUGGCCAUAUCAUGUCACUUAUGUGAUUUGCAUGUGAUGUUUAUCCUUUUAUGCAUCUUAUUUUGCUUUGGAUGAUGGUAACAUUAUAAGAUCAUCCCUCAUUAAAUUUCAGGAUAAAAUUGUGUUCUCCCCAAGUAUGCACCAUUGCGAAAGUUCCUCGUUUUGAAGCACCUCGUGAUGAUCGGGUGUGAUAGACUUUUCGUUCACAUACAGCGGGUAUAAGCCAGUUUAUACAUGCGGAAUACUUGGGUUAAACUUGACGAGCGUAGCAUGUACAAACAUGGCGUCGGAACACAGGAGACCAAAAGGUCGAACAUGAGUCAUAUACUAUAUAUGAUCAACAUGGGGAUGUUCACCAUUGAAACCACCUCACCUCACGUGAUGGUCGGACUUAAGUUGGUGGAUUUGGAUCAUGUCACACUUAGACAACCUGAGGGAUGUUGAUUUGAGUGGGAGUUCAUUACUAAUUUGAUUAAUUGAACUAACUAUCAUGAACAUAGUCUAAAGUUGUCUUUACAAAUUAUGUUGUAGAUCAAUGGCUCGCGUAGUAGCUCCCCUGAAUUUUAAUGCGUUCCUAGAGAAAGCUAAGUUGAAAGAUGAUGGAAGUAACUAUGUAGACUAGAUCCGUAAUAUGAGGAUUAUCCUAACGGCUUCGCAGAAGUCUUAUGUCCUUGAUGCACCCCUCGGUGCGCCACCCCCUCCAGUGUCGUCUACACAUGUUGUGAAGUCUAGCAGGCGCGUUCUGAUGACUACUCAAUAGUUCGAUGCCCAUGUUGUACGGCUUAAAGUCGGGACUUCAAAAGUGUUUUUAACGCCAUAGAGCAUAUGAGAUGUUCGAGGUUGAAAUUAGUAUUCCAAGCUAAUACCCGGAUUGAGAGGUAUACGACCUGGGAUAAGUUCUUCGCCUACAAGAUGAAGGAGAAUAGUUAUGUCAGUGAGCACAUACUCAGAAUGUGUGGGUACAACCGCUUGAAUAAGUUGGGAGUUGAGCUUCCGUCUGAGACAGUCACUCACAAAGUUCUCCAGUCACUGUCACCUAGCUACAAGGGCUUCAUAAUGAACUAUAAUAUGCAAGGGAUGAACAAGUCAAUCUCCGAGCUAUAUGCAAUGCUGAAAGUCACGGAAGUAGAAAUCAAAAAGGAGCAUCAAGUGUUGAUGGUGAAUAAAACCACUAGUUUCAAGAAAGGCAAGGGAAAGACGGGGAACUUCAAGAAGAAUGGCAAUCAAGUUGCUGCUCUCAUGAAGAAAGCCAAGCGUGAGACUAAGUGCUUCUACUCCAAGGGGACUGGCGACUAGAAGCGGAAUUGCCCCAAGUACCUCGCUGAUAAGAAGGCUGGAAACAUCAACAAAUGUAUAUUUGAUAUACAUGGUAUUGAUGUGUACCUUACUAGCUCUUAUAGUAGUGUCUGGGUAUUUGAUACCGGUUUGGUCACUCCUAUUUGUAACUCGAAGCAGGAACUAUGGAGUAAAAGGAGGCUCGCAAAGGACAAGGUGACGAUGCACGUCAGAAAUGGUUCCAUGGUUUAUGUGAUCGCUGUUGGCAUGCUCGCUCUUCGAUUACCAUCGAGAUUAGUUUUAAACCUAAAUAAUUUUUAUUUGUUGCCUACGUUGAGCAUGAACGUUAUAUCUGGAUCUUGUUUAUUGUGAGACGGUUAUUCAUUUAAAGCAAAUGAUAAUGGUUUUUCUAUUUAUAUGAGUAAUAUAUUUUAUAUUCAUGCACCCAAUGUGAAUGGUUUAUUUUUGUUGAAUCUUGAUCGUAGUGAUACACAUGUUCCUAACAUUGAUGCCAAAAGAUGCAAAGACAAUAAUGAUAGUACCACUUUCUUGUGGCACUGCCUCUUAGGUCAUAUUGGUGUAAAGCGCAUGAGAAAACUCCAUGCUGAUGGACUUUUGGAAUCACUCGAUUUUGAAUCGAUUGAUACAUGCGAACCAUGCCUCAUGGGUAAAAUGACGAAAACUCCGUUCUCCGAAACAAUGGAGCGGGCAAGUGACUUGUUGGAAAUCAUAAGUACUCAUGUGUGUGGUGCAAGGAGUGUUCAAGCACAUGGUGGAUAUCUUUAUUUUCUUACCUUCACUGAUGGUUUGAGUAGAUAUGGGUAUAUUUACUUGAUGAAACACAAGUCUGAAAUGUUUGAAAAGUUCAAGCAAUUUGAGAGUGAAGUUGAGAAUCAUCGUAACAAUAAGAUAAAGUUUUUACGAUCUGAUCAUGGUGGAGAAUAUGUGAGUUAUGACUUUGGUAUGCAUUUAAGACAGUGUGGAAUUGUUUCACACCUUACGCCAUCUAGAACACUAGAGCGUAAUGGUGUGUCUGAGUGUCAUAAUCGUACUCUAUUGGAUAUGGUGCGAUCUAUGAUGUCUCUUACUACUCUGCCGCUAUCGUUUUGGGGAUUUGCAUUAGAGACAGUUGCAUUCACUUUAAAUAGGGCACCAUCUACAUCCAUUGAGAUGACAUCGUAUUAAUUAUGGUUUGGCAAGAAACCUAAGCUGUCGUCUCUUAAGGUUUGGGGUUGCGAUGCUUAUGUGAAAAGGCUUCAGCCUGAUAAGCUCGAACCCAAAGCGGAGAAGUGCGUCUUCAUAGGACACCCUAAGUAAACAAUUGGGUACAACUUCUAUCUCAGAUCCGAAGCCAAAUUCUUUGUUGCCAAGAAUGGAUCCUUUCUAGAGAAGGAGUUUCUCUCGAAAGAAUUGAGUGGGAGGAAGGUAUAACUUGACGAGGUUGUUGAACCGUCACUUUAGUUGGAGAGUAGCACGACACAGAAAGAUGUUUUCGUGAUGCCUACACCAAUUGAAGAUGAAGCUAAUGAUAAUGAUCAUGAAGCUUCAGAUCAAGUCACUACCAAGCCUUGUAGGUCGACAAGGACACAUACCACCCCUGAGUGGUACGACGAUCCUAUCUUGGAGGUCUGUUGUUAGACAACAUUGAAUCUACGAGCUAUGAAGAAGCAAGGUGUGCUCGGAUUCCGAAAAAUGGCUAUAGGCCAUGAAAUUCGAGAUAGGAUCCAUGUAUGAGAACAAAGUAAGGACGUUGGAGGACUUACCGGAUGAUCGUAAGGCCAUUAAGAACAAAUGGAUCUUUAAGAAAAAGAAAAACACUCACGAUAUUGUCACUGUCAAUAAAGCACAACUUGUUGCAAAAGGGUGUUCACAAGUUCAAGGAGUUGACUGUGAUGAGACUUUCUCUCCCGUAGCAAUGCUUAAGUCCGUUAGGAUUAUGUUAGCAAUAGCUGCAUUUUUCGAUUAUGGAAUUUGGCAGAUGGAUGUCAAGAUUGUGUUCCUUAAUGGUUUCCUUAAGGAAGAGUUGUAUAGGAUGCAACCGAAAGGUUUUGUCGAUCCUAAAAAUGCUCACAAAGUAUGAAAGCUCCAAUGAUCCACUUAUGGACUGGUGCAAGCUUUUUGGAGUUGGAAUCUUCGUUUUGAUAAGGUGAUCAAGGCGUUUGGGUUCGUACAAGUUUAUGGAGAAGCUUGUAUUCACAAGAAAGUGAGUGGGAGAUCUAUAGUGUUUCUAAUAUUAUAUGUGGAUGACAUAUUGCUAAUUGGAAACAAUUUAGAACUUUUGGAAAGUGUGAAGAUAUAUUUGAACAAGAGUUUUUCAAUGAAAGACCUCACAAAAUCUGCAUACAUAUUAGGCAUCAAGAUCUAUAGGGAUAGAUCAAGACGCUUAAUAGGACUUUCACAAAGCACAUACCUAGAUAAGGUUUUGAAGAAGUUCAAAAUGGAUCAGUCCAAGAAAGGGUUCUUGCGUGUCUUACAAGGUGUGAAGUUGAGUAAGACUCGAUGCCCAACAAGUAUAGAAGAUAUAGAAAAGAUGAGUGUCGACCCAUAUGCCUCAGCCAUAUGCUCUAUCAUGUAUGCAAUGUUGUGCGCAAGACCGGAUGUGAGCCUUUCCAUAAGUAUGGCCAAAAGGUUUCAAAGUGAUCCAAGACUAGAACACUCGACAUCGGUCAAAAAUAUCCUUAAGUACCUCAAGAGGACUAAGGAGAUUUUUCUCGUUUAUGGAGGUGAUCAAGAGCUCGUCGUAAAGGGUUAUGUCGAUGCUAGCUUUGGCACAUAUACGGAUGACUCUAAGUCUCAAACCGGGUACAUAUUUAGUCUGAAUGGUGGAGCAGUCAGUUGGCAUAGUUCCAAGCAAAGUGUGGUAGCACAUUCUACAUGUGGGGUGGAGUACAUAGCUACUUCAGAAGUAGAAGAAGGGUGUCUGGAUGAAGCAGUUCAUGACGGAUCUUCGAGUUGCACCCAAUGCACUGAUACGAUGACUCUCUUUUGUGACAACACGGGUGCCAUUGAACUAGCCAGGACCCAGGUUUCACAAGAAGAACAGACACAUAACGCGUCACUUCAAUUCCAUCCGCAGUUAUAUCAAGGAGGAAGACAUAAACAUUUCCAAAUUACAUACGGAUCUAAACGUUGCAGACCCGUUGACUAAAUCUCUUCCACGGUCAAGACAUGAUCAACACGAGAACCUUAUGAGUGUCAGAUUCAUUACAAUGUAACAGCUAGAUUAUUGACUCUAGUGCAAGUGGGAGACUGUUGGAAAUAUGCCCUAGAGGCAAUAAUAAAAUGGUUAUUAUCAUAUUUCCUUGUUCAUGAUAAUCGUUUAUUAUCCAUGCUAAAAUUGUAUUGACACAAACUUAAAUAUAUGUGUGGAUAUAUAAGCAACACCGUGUCCCUAGUGAGCCUCUACUAGACUAGCUCGUUGAUCAAAGAUGGUUAAGGUUUCCUAACCAUAGACAUGAGUUAACAUAAGAUAACAAAUCACAUCAUUAGGAGAAUGCUGUAAUGGAAAAGACCCGACUGUAAGUAUAACAUUCGAUUGUAUCACUUAGUUUAUUGCUACUGCUUUCUUCAUGUCAAGUAUUUGUUCCUAAGACCAUGAUAUCAUGCAACUCCCUGGCACCGAAGGAAUGCCUUGUGUGUAUCAAAUGUCACUUCAUAACUGGGUGACCAUAAAUAUACUCUACAAGUAUCUCCGAGGGUGUCUGUUGGGUUGGCAUGGAUCAAGAUUGGGAUUUGUCACUCCAUAUGACUGAGAGGUAUCUCUGGGCCCUCUCGAUAAUACAACGUCACAAGAAGCUUGCAAGCAAUGUGACUAAGGAGUUAGUCACGAGAUCUUGUAUUAUGGAACGAAUAAAUAGACUUGUUGGUAACAAGAUUGAACCAGGUAUGAGAUACCGACGAUCGAAUCUCGGGCAAUUAACAUAUCACUAGACAAAGGGAAUUGCAUACAAGAUUAACUGGAUCCUUGACAUCGUGGUUCAACCGAUGAAGGUCUUCGUGGAAUAUGUAGGAACCAAUAUCAAAAUCCAGGUCCUGCUAUUGGUUAUUGACCAGAGAGGUGUCUCAGUCAUGUCUACAUGAUUCUCGAACCCGUAGGGUCGCACGCUUAACAUUCGGUAGUGCUAGGGUAAUGUUGUCAUAUUAAUAGUGUGUGACAGCCCGAUGCCGAUGUUCCAGAAGAUUCCCCCCUUUAUUUCGUUUUCGUCAUGUGUCUAUUUUAUUUUGUCGCAUCAUCAUCGCAUCAUUCGCAUCAUCGGCAUUGCAUCGGCAUCUCCGUUGCUGCGAGUUUUCAAAACUUGCAUCCGUUGUUAGUUGCCGGUUCUCGUCGUUGUCCGUUCUGAGCCCGACCGCACAUGCACGCGCCCGCGGCAUCGUCAAAACCCUGCUUUAAAAGUGUGUUGAAAACUUUCUCUGAUCGGGGUGAAACUUGGCAUGCGGUCGUAAUAAGAUAUAGCUAGGCCGCCUGUCGAAUUUCGUCGCGAUCGGAGUCCGUCUGGUACUCGAACGGUCGACCGUAGCGGCACCGUAUUCGGUCUACCGUCGGACGGUUAUCGGUGUUUUAAAAAUCUUUGACCGCUAGGCCUCGCCAGACCGCCUCGCCAGCUCUUGGGCCGCGCAGGAGCAGCCAGGCUGGCCCAAUCCGGCCCAGCUAAGCAACCCCCCUCGGCCUCCUCCAGGCCAACUCCACCGCAGCGCCCGCGGCCCAUCUGCCUCCCGAUCCGAUCUGGCCCGGGUGGCCAAGGUGAGCCGAGCUCCAAGCCCACUAUCCUUCGCCACGGCGCAUGGUAGUUAUUUUGCACGCCUUUGUUAGGCCCAUUAUGCCUAGAUUCGGCCCGUAGUAGUUUAGGUAUUUUUUUUCCUGCGAUUUAGUUAAUUUCAGAGAUAUUAGUUAAUUUCUUUUGCCCGUAGUUUCUAAACUGUUAGUCGGAUCGAGGCGUAUUGUAUAUGGUUUUGGUGUAGUUUUGCGCGUAGAAUCCGAUUACAAAACUUGCAUGUUUGUUUGACAUGGUUUGCCGUGCCAAAUGCCUAGUUUACGUGAUGUUCCAAUAGGAUCCGCUCCGUAGUUUAUUUUCCGCGCGUGUUCGAAUUGCUCGGAUGCCAUAGUAUAAAUGCCCAUGUUUUAGGAACCAUUUUUCCAUGUAUUUUAGAGCGUUCACUCGUAUUUUUUGCGUGUAGGGAUUGCCGCUCGUUUAUUUAUCCGUGUAUAGGUUAUUAUCUCGCAUUUACGUGUGAUAUUAUUUUUGUUGUGCAACCCCACAUAUUUUAUAUGUUUUCAGGGUAGAAAGCAUUAGAGCAAGUUAGUUCGCGCGAUAUUUUGUCAUGUUGCCCUCUUGUUUAUUUCGUAGGAUUUAUUCCGUGCUUCGUUUGAUUAAGUUGUCAACUAGGGAGUUGUUCUUUGAUGUUUAGUAUAGCCCCUGGUAAUUUUGGUUGCAAUAGAAAUGCAUGUUUAGGUGUUGUUUGCUUGCUCUCAAGUUGCUAGAAAUAGUGCUGAUUUGGAGGUGCUGAAAUAUUUCUAAGUCUGGAAUCUGUUAUAUUUUGUUGCUGUUUUGUUUUGCUUCUACCUUGUGAUCUGUAGCUCUUUUCAGGUUGGUCCAAUGGAGUUAGUUGAAGCCCUUGUGUUUCUCUAGCAUGAUGUGAAUUUUCAUGUCAUUUGGAGUCCUGUAGGUUAUGGUUUUGCUGCUGUCAAUAUGCCUUCAGAUCGAAAACUGCAGCUUCAAAACGGCUAUUUUCACUAAGUCUGAAAUAGUGUGUGGGAAGCCAUUUUGUGACUUCUUUUCCUAGUGUUCCUUGCUGCCAUGUUAGUUGUUGUUAGUUGUUUGUAGUUGUGCUUCUUUCCCUCUUUCGUGUCAUGUCUUGGUUGAUUAUAUCGGAGUUGAGUAGCUCGUAGUUGUGGGGUGUAGAAAGUGCUAUGUGGCUGAUUUUGGCAGUUUGUAGUGAUUUCUUGUUUUGCUCGUAGUUGUUGAACCGUAGCUCCGAUUUGAUCGUGUCCUACAUGAAACUUGCUUAGAAUCUCGCGUAGUUUCAUUUUCUCUUGCUGGUUAUAUGUUUUGAAGUGCUCGUGACCGUCGUUGCACACAUAUUGCAUUCAUGCCAUCAUAUCUUGCAGUGCUUGUAUCUUUUGAACCGUAGCUCCGUUGGAGAUGUUCUCUAUGUGUAGAUUGCUUGAAAUAACGUGUAGAAUCACGUGAACCUAUUUGUUUUUAUGUUUAACAACUAAUUAAAUGCAUUAGUUCAGAUCUGGACAGAAUUGUAAAUUAACAUGUGCGGUCGUUUCGGAGGUGCUAUAUGUCAUUUCCGACCUCAUUUAAAAUGCCUAGAUAGGUAGAUUAAUUACGCUUCACCUCUUGCCAUGUUUAGUCACAUUUAAUAUUGCCGAGUACCUAAUUGGGAUAGAACUAAAUAACUCGUAUGUGGAGUUUCGUCAAUAUGCAACUCGUUACAUAUUGAACUUCACUUAACGUGUAGUGUUUGUUUGUCGUGAAUUGUCAUGCCGUGACUUGCAUGUAUUCAGCUGCUCAUGCAUCAUUUGUGUUGUGCAUCGUGUGGUGAAUUCCGUGUGUUGAUUUUGGUUUCCGGUUUGUUUCGUCUCGAUAGAGUUCUGCAGCGUGUCGAAUUGUGAGGACCCGUUCGACUACGUCGGUUCGUCUGCUUCACGCAGGCAUUCUUCUUCCAAGCGGGAUCUCAGGCAAGAUGACCAUUUCCCCAGAUACCAUUACUAUCAUUGCCAUGCUAGUUUUAUCGCUUCUAUCGAUUAUGUCUCGUUGCCUACCACAUGUUAAAUAUCAGCCUCUCAACAAUGCCAUGAAACCUUCAACCUGUUCAACCUAGCAAACCACUGAUUGGCUAUGUUACCACUUGCUUAAACCAUGUGUUAGCGUUUCUAGUUGCAGGUGCAGUUGCUUCCAUGUGAUAACAUGGGUUCCUUGUUAUAUCACCCUAUUAAAUGCUAAUUAAUUUAAUGCACCUAUAUACUUGGUAAAAGGUGGAAGGCUCAACCUUUCUAGCCUGGUGUUUUGUUCCACCUUUGCCCCCUUAGUUUCGGCUACCGGUGUUAUGUUCCAUAAUUGAGCGCUCCUAACAUGAUCGGGGUUGUUAUGGGGACCCCUUGAUAAUUCGUUUUCGAUUAAAGCUGGUCUGGCAAGGCCCAACAUUGGUACUACAUUUGCCUAAUCACCUAAUAAAAUUGCAUAGGGACUUUCCGGACCCCGAGGAUAAUUUAAUCAACCCCCCGGCCAGUGCUCCUCAUGAGUGUUGGUCCAAAACAGAGCAGCUUAUUAACGCUACCCGGGGCAACUCGGCGUUUGGCGUGGUAACCAUCGCUCAUCCGUCGUGUCCUGAGAACGAGAUACGCGGCUCCUAUCGGGAUCGUCGACACGUCGGGCGGCCUUGCUGGAUUAGUUUUACCUUUGACGAAAUAUCUUGUGCAUCGGGAUUCCGGUGAUGCUUUGGGUAAUCUUAGAGUUGAGGUUUCCACUAGGGAAUCCGACGAGAUCGCGAGCUUCGUGAUUGAGGAUUUCUAUACGUCUUGUGGUAAUUUGUGAUGGACUAGUUGGAGCGCCCCUGCAGGGUUUAAUCUUUUCAGAAAGCCGUGCCCGCGGUUAUGUGGCAACAUGGAAACUUUGUUUAACACUGCUUCUAGAUAACUUGAAGUUAACUUAAUUAAAAUAUGCCAACUGUGUGCGUAACCGUGACUGUCUCUUUCGUGAGUUCCUUCUCCGAUCGAGGACACGGUGGGGUUAUGUGUGACGUAGGUAGGUGUUCAGGAUCAUUCAUUUGAUCAUCAGUAGUUCACGUCCGUUAUGCUUAAAUCUUUCCCCUCUUAUUUCUUGUACUCGUAAGUUUAGCCACCAAAUAUAUGCUUAGCCGCUGCUGCAACUCACCACUUAACCAUACCUUACCCAUUAAGCUUUGCUAGUCUUGACACCUUUGGAAAUGAGAUUGCUGAGUCCCCUGUGGCUCACAGAUUACUACAACACCAGUUGCAGGUAUAGGUAAAGGUUACUUGACGCGAGCGUGUUGAUUGUUCAUUUGGAGUUGCUUCUUCUUCUUCUUCUUCUUCUUCUUCUUCAUCGAUCUAGGAUUGGGUUCCAGGCCGGCAGCCUGGGAUAGCAAGCAUGGACCUUUUUUUUUGUUUGUUUUCGUCCGUAGCCGGACCCUGCUCUUACUCUUGAUGAAUAUGUAAUGUACUGCUGUGACUCUGAUGUAGCUUGUGGCGAGUGUAAGCCAAUUCUAUAUAUAUAUAUAUAUAUAUCUUCUUUUCAGUACAUGUACUUGUAACGAUAUCCAUUCUUGCGACACGACGAGAUGCGCUUCUAUCCCUAACGAGGCCUUCAUGCCAAAUUGAGGAUAGGGUCGCAUCUUGGGCGUGACAAGUUGGUAUCAGACCAGUACCGACCUAGGAGCUCCCCUUGAUUGAUCGAACUUGGCCGAGUCGAGUCUAGUGAAAAGCUGCUUUGAGUCUAGUUAUAUAUCGGAGAGUAGGAUUCUUUUUUCUCCUCUUCUAUGCUCUGGUGAGGAAUCUUGACGUAAUAUUUUAAUUCAACUCCUCUUCUCACUCAAAUUUUUUUAGGAUCACGCGGAUAUUCUUGGAAUCUAUAUGAUGCCGAUGUGACGGAGUUCUGUCUUGGUGCCUCCUGUCUGACUUGAUUUUCUUUCGGGGAGUUGAGCUCCACGGGAUUCUCGAGCACAUCGUUAUCAUUCAGAUUUCUUAGUAUCUCAGAACGAAGGAUGUUCGUAAUUUCUUCAAUACUAGUAGUGGCGAGAUAACCCCGAUGUCCCCAGUACUGGUGCAGAUUGUUCGGGUGUACUGCCAUACUUUGUAUCGUUGUGGUCACGAGGGUCUGUUGUAGAUGAAGGUCCGAGAUUCUGGUUGUGUGUUGACGGAUGUGAUACAGGUGACGGGUUAGUUUAGGAGUUGUGUGAUAUUACUCCUUGUAUCUGUGUACCAGAUUGCAUGACCAGAUAUUUCGGGAAUCCAUAGGUGGGAAUUCAAGUAGUUUCUUAUAGGACAAUCUUCCAACAAAUGCAUGAUGUUAGGUUGGGGUUCAACAUCUAGUGGAUUCGUUUGUUCACGGUCGACUUACAGCGGUACAUGUUGUGUCUUAAAGAGUCCUUAUAGCUUGCUACGACUCGAGGACGCUUCGUAUGUCGGGUGCACUGCCUUGCACUUGAUGGCUACUGUAAAAUCAAGCCCGUGCGAUCCUGUCCACGAAAAUAUCGGACGAAAUCUUUCUCAUGAGUUUGUUCUGGCUAAUUGUAAGCCUCAUCCCCUUGUGUCAUUGGAGUUUGGUAAUUAAAGUUGCUUCAGUGUCAAGUGGUGAUUUCAGAUCUUUCUAACAGGUGUUCUCAUAUUUUUAUGUGAGAAUGCGAAUUCUUUUGUUCAUUCAAAUUUUCAUAUCAAUUCUUCUCAACCGGAGUUGUUAUGUUAAUUCUUUUCCAACCGGUGUGUUUCUCUCCAAGUAAAUUCAAUCCUCUCUAAUUUUGCAAGAUCAUUCUCUCAUUUUAUUCCAGAGUUCAUCUCAUCUGUCCCAAGUCAUCUUUGUUUUUUUCCCGCCCUCCCGCCCUUUUUCUUCAGUGAUUGGAUUUCAUCCAAGCGCAUUCAUUUCAUUGUGCUUCCACUAUCUUUUAUUCCGUUUCCUAUCCGAUGUUUCGUUGUGAAGAUUCUCAGGAGCUUCGUGUUCAUCUUUAUUCAGUCUUGUUAUCUUUUCCGGUGAAUUCAAUGCAGUUAUUUGUGUUCAUCAUAUCCUAUUCAUCCUUGUAAUUCUUUCCUAUGUUGGAGAUUUUUAUCAGCCUAUCUUGUUUAUUCAUCUCUUUUCUAUCCGGAGUGUUAAAGAUAUUUCAGAAGUUCUGGUUUUCAAUCCUUCAGUUAUUUCGAGGUGCUAACCUCAUCUAGUUUUCUUGUACCGGUGCAAUAUCUCUCGUUCUAGCAAUCUUUUCAACGGUGGUUUCUUCGACUGAGCCCAUAACCCACAUGUUUUUCCCAGGAUCUUAUAUGUCUGUUCUAAUCUUUUCGGAGAUCUUUAAUUCUUUUCAACUAUGACGUAAGUAUUGAUUUUCAUCAGUCAUAUUCCUUCUUCUAGAUCAAUUUGAAUUAAUUCUCAUAUUUGGCUCAACCUUCCAUUCUUCUUUAUUCCGGAGAGUCUCAGCUAUUAUCGGUGUUGUUCCUCGUCAUCAUUCUCAGCUUGCAAAUUAGAAGGACUGUUUCUCUCAAAUCUUGGUUCAUUCUCUUGGAUAUUCGUCAUUUCAGCUUUGUGCCAUCAUCUUAAUUGUUGUCAAUCAUGAGUAUCCCUUUCUUGCGAUCCGGUGCAUUUCUGUGUUGUUUUCAUUCUCGAUCCUCCGAAGGCCAUCAUCCAGAAGAUUUUGUUUGUUCUCAGCUUGCAACUUUCAUCCUCAAUUCUUCUCAAUUGUUGUCUCUUCGUUCGUCUCUCAAUUAUUUUGAUGUCUUGUUUAAAUUUUUCCUCUCAGGUGGAUCAUGAUCUCUUCAUUCUCAUGUAUCUCCAUUAAUUCUUGGUAUUUCCAUUCAAUUGGAAUUCUUACCGGUGCUUCCUUUAUUUAUGCUUCAAGUGGUGCUUAUCUCUCUGUCUCUUCAAGAUUCAUUUCAAGAAGAAUAAGGGGUAUGCUAAAUCCGUUGCUUCUCAUCAAUUAAAUUUGAUGAAGGAUGAGCAUAACAUAAUUCUUAUUCUUGUUCAUAGUAAUCUGAAUUCUUCUUCCGGAGUGGCUCAUGGUUUCAAUUCUUUUCUCGGGUGCUUAUCUUUUUUCCGGAGUUCCAAGUUCUUUUAAGUAUCUCUUUGUGAGGCUUCAUCUAAAUCUUGGAAAGGUCAUAAUCUUAUUAUUUUCUACCUUUAUAUCUUUGCAUCAUUCAUUUGUAUACGGUGGUCCUUCAUGGUGGUUCAUCAAGGUUUCAAUCCAUUAUCAAGUGUUCUUCAAGAUUCUUGUUGGAGAACCUCAAGUAUCCUUUCUCUUGCAUUUAUAUGUGCAAUUGUUCUUCAUUUAUCCUUUGAGGUGGUAUUAUAGCAUUCUUGUUAGUGUAGGAGCCUCGAAGAGACUUCCUUUCAAGAAUGAGAUAAUUAAACCCACCAAUUCUUUGAUCAUGAGAUAUUUUCAACCCAUGAUUUCUUCAUUGAGCUAUCUUGGUUUGGAUUUCACCUAAAGCUUUUCCUAUGGAUUGUUGCUAUCAUGGUGCUUGUCAUUAAUCCAAGUUCUCAAUGUAUCCCCUCGGUGCAAGAAAUUGUUCAUAUCUUGUUUCUCCUAAUCAACUCUUGUUUCUGUUAGUGGCUGGUUGUCACUUCAUUAGUUUGAAAAGGUUUCCAUAAGCCCACUACUAUCUUGUUCUUUUCGUUGUUGUUUUUCCAACAACUCCGUCCAAUUCUUCUCGCAAGAAUGCUUGCCAAGUUCAUUGGAGUUUGUAGUUGUCAUUCUCUUCUUCCGUAUGAUUUAGUUCCUAUUCUUUUGUUACGGAGGCUUUGUGAUGUUGCUCUUUUGGGUCUAUCAUGUUGUUCUAUCAAGAUAUUUGUGUCCCUUGUUCUAUUUAGUUGUUUGUUAUGAAUAUUGUCAAUUUCUUCCAUCUUAUCGAAUUUUUUGUCCCAUUUUCCUACCGAAGUGCUGCCGAAAUUUUCCGUCAAUUCUUGUUUGUUUCUCAUAUCAUUCCUCAUCUCUUUGCAACCUUCAAGGAUCGUUGGUUUCACUCGUUUGUCAAAGAAGCGACUAAAUUUUACCUCUUGUUCUUUCUCUUCCUCUCCCCCUUUUAUUCUUGGAUCUCGGGGCGAGAUCCUCUUGUAGUGUAGGAGAGUUGUGACAGCCCGAUGCCUACGUUCCAGAAGAUUCCCCCCUUUAUUCCGUUUUCGUCGUGUGUCUAUUUUAUUUUGUCGCAUCAUCAUCGCAUCAUUCGCAUCAUCGGCAUUGCAUCGGCAUAUCCGUUGCCGUCAGUUUUCAAAACUUGCAUCCGUUGUUAGUUGCCGGUUCUCGUCGUUGUUCGUUCUGAGCCCGACCGCACACGCACGCGUCCGCGGCAUCGUCAAAACCAUGUUUUAAAAGUGUGUUGAAAACUUUCUCUGAUCGGGGUGAAACUUGGCAUGCAGUCGUAAUUAGAUAUAGCUAGGCCGCCUGUCGAAUUUCGUCGCGAUCGGAGUCCGUCUGGUACCCGAACGGUCGACCGUAGCGGCACCGUAUUCGGUCUACCGUCGGACGGUUAUCGGUGUUUUAAAAAUCGUUGACCGCAGUGCCCGCGGCCCAUCUGCCUCCCGAUGGGAUCUGGCCCGUGUGGCCAAGGUGAGCCGAGCUCCGAGCCCACUAUCCUUCGCCACGGCGCAUGGUAGUUAUUUUGCACGCCUCUGUUAGGCCCAUUGUGCCUAGAUUCGGCCCGUGGUAGUUUAGGUUUUUUUUCCUGUGAUUUAGUUAAUUUCAGGGAUAUUAGUUAAUUUCUUUUGCCCGUAGUUUCUAAACCGUUAGUCGGAUCGAGGCGUAUUGUAUAUGGUUUUGGUGUAGUUUUGCGCGUAGAAUCCGAUUAUAAAACUUGCAUGUUUGUUUGACGUGGUUUUCCGUGCCAAAUGCCUAGUUUACGUGCUGUUCCAAUAGGAUCCGCUCCGUAAUUUAUUUUCCGUGCGUGUUCGAAUUGCUCGGAUGCCCUAGUAUAAAUGCCCAUGUUUUAGGAACCAUUUUCCAUGUAUUUUAGAGCGGUCACUCGUAUUUUUUGCGUGUAGGGAUUGCCGCUCGUUUAUUUCUUCGUGUAUAGGUUAUUAUCUCGCAUUUACGUGUGAUGUUAUUUUUGUUGUGCAACCCCACAUAUUUUAUAUGUUUUCGGGGUAGAAAAAUCCAUGGGAUUUUUCUGUGCAAUUAGUUUUAGCAUUAGAGCAAGUUAGUUCGCGCGAUAUUUUGCCAUGUUGCCCUCUUGUUUAUUUCAUAGGAUUUAUUCCGUGCUUCGUUUGAUUAAGUUGUCAACUAGGGAGUUGUUCUUUGAUGUUUAGUAUAGCCCCUGGUAAUUUUGGUUGAAAUAGAAAUGCAUGUUUAGGUGUGGUUUGCUUGCUCUCAAGUUGCUAGAAAUAGUGCUGAUUUGGAGGUGCUGAAAUAUUUCUAAGUCUGGAAUCUGUUAUAUUUUGUUGCUGUUUUGUUUUGCUUCUACCUUGUGAUCUGUAGCUCUUUUCAGGUUGGUCCAAUGGAGUUAGUUGAAGCCCUUGUGUUUCUCUAGCAUGAUGUGAAUUUUCAUGUCAUUUGGAGUCCUGUAGGUUAUGGUUUUGCUGCUGUCAAUAUGCCUUCAGAUCGAAAACUGCAGCUUCAAAACGGCUAUUUUCACUAAGUCUGAAAUAGUGUGUGGGAAGCCAUUUUGUGACUUCUUUUCCUAGUGUUCCUUGCUGCCAUGUUAGUUGUUGUUAGUUGUUUGUAGUUGUGCUUCUUUCCCUCUUUCGUGUCAUGUCUUGGUUGAUUAUAUCGGAGUUGAGUAGCUCGUAGUUGUGGGGUGUAGAAAGUGCUAUGUGGCUGAUUUUGGCAGUUUGUAGUGAUUUCUUGUUUUGCUCGUAGUUGUUGAACCGUAGCUCCGAUUAGAUCGUGUCCUACAUGAAACUUGCUUAGAAUCUCGCGUAGUUUCAUUUUCUCUUGCUGGUUAUAUGUUUUGAAGUGCUCGUGACCGUCGUUGCACACAUAUUGCAUUCAUGCCAUCAUAUCUUGCAGUGCUUGUAUCUUUUGAACCGUAGCUCCGUUGGAGAUGUUCUCUAUGUGUAGAUUGCUUGAAAUAACGUGUAGAAUCACGUGAACCUAUUUGUUUUUAUGUUUAACAACUAAUUAAAUGCAUUAGUUCAGAUCUGGACAGUAUUGUAAAUUAACAUGUGAGGUCGUUUCGGAGGUGCUAUAUGUCAUUUCCGACCUCAUUUAAAAUGCCUAGAAAGGUAGAUUAAUUACGCUUCACCUCUUGCCAUGUUUAGUCACAUUUAAUAUUGCCGAGUACCUAAUCGGGAUACAACUAAAUAACUCAUAUGUGGAGUUUCGUCAAUAUGCAACUCGUUGCAUAUUAAACUUCACUUAAUGUGUAGUGUUUGUUUGUCGUGAAUUGUCAUGCCGUGACUUGCAUGUAUUCAGCUGCUCAUGCAUCAUUUGUGUUGUGCAUCGUGUGGUGAAUUCCGUGUGUUGAUUUGUGUUUCCGGUUUGCUUCGUCUUGAUAGAGUUCCGCAGCGUGCCGGAUUGUGAGGACCUGUUCGACUACGUCGGUUCGUCUGCUUCACGGAGGCAUUCUUCUUCCAAGCGGGAUCUGAGGCAAGAUGACCAUUUCCCCAGAUACCAUUACUAUCAUUGCCAUGCUAGUUUUAUCGCUUCUAUCGAUUAUGUCUCGUUGCCUACCAUAUGUUAAAUAUCAGCCUCUCAACAAUGCCAUGAAACCUUCAACCUGUUCAACCUAGCAAACCACUCAUUGGCUAAGUUACCGCUUGCUUAAACCAUGUGUUAGCGUUGCUAGUUGCAGGUGCAGUUGCUUCCAUGUGAUAACAUGGGUUCCUUGUUAUAUCACCCUAUUAAAUGCUAAUUAAUUUAAUGCACCUAUAUACUUGGUAAAAGUUGGAAGGCUCGACCUUUCUAGCCUGGUGUUUUGUUCCACCUUUGCCCCCUUAGUUUCGGCUACCGGUGUUAUGUUCCAUAAUUGAGCGCUCCUAACACGAUCGGGGUUGUUAUGGGGACCUUCUUGAUAAUUCGUUUUAGAUUAAAGCUGGUCUGGCAAGGCCCAACAUUGGUACUACAUUUGCCUAAUCACCUAAUAAAAUUGCAUAGUGACUUUCCGGACCUCGAGGAUAAUUUAAUCAACCCCCGGGCCAGUGCUCCUCAUGAGUGUUGGUCCAAAACAGAGCAGCUUAUUAACGCUACCCGGGGCAACUCGGCGUUUGGCGUGGUAACCAUCGCUCAUCUGUCGUGUCCUGAGAACGAGAUACGCGGCUCCGAUCGAGAUCGUCGACACGUCGGGCGGCCUUGCUGGAUUAGUUUUACCUUUGACGAAAUAUCUUGUGCAUCGGGAUUCCGGUGAUGCUUUGGGUAAUCUCAGAGUUGAGGUUUUCCGCUAGGGAAUCCGACGAGAUCGCGAGCUUCGUGAUUGAGGAUUUCUAUGUGGCUUGUGGUAAUUUGUGAUGGACUAGUUGGAGCGCCCCUGCAGGGUUUAAUCUUUUCGGAAAGCCGUGCCCGCGGUUAUGUGGCAACGUGGAAACUUUGUUUAAUACUGGUUCUAGAUAACUUGAAGUUAACUUAAUUAAAAUAUGCCAACUAUGUGCGUAACCGUGACUGUCUCUUUCGUGAGUUCCUUCUCCGAUCGAGGACACGGUGGGGUUAUGUCUGACGUAGGUAGGUGUUCAGGAUUAUUCAUUUGAUCAUCAGUAGUUCACGUCCGUUAUGCGUAAAUCUUCCCCCUCUUAUUUCUUGUACUCGUAAGUUUAGCCACCCAAUAUAUGCUUAGUCGCUGCUGCAACCUCACCACUUAACCAUACCUCACCCAUUAAGCUUUGCUAGUCUUGACACCUUUGGAAAUGAGAUUGCUGAGUCCCCUGUGGCUCAUAGAUUACUACAACACCAGUUGCAGGUACAGGUAAAGGUUACUUGACGCGAGCGCGUUGAUUGUUCAUUUGGAGUUGCUUCUUCUUCUUCUUCAUCAUCGAUCUAGGAUGGGUUCCAGGCCGACAGCCUGGGAUAGCAAGGAUGGACGUCGUUCUUCUUUUGUAGUUUGUUUUCGUCCAUAGCCGGACCCUGCUCUUACUCUUGAUGAAUAUGUAAUGUACUGUUGUGACUCUGAUGUAGCUUGUGGCGAGUGUAAGCCAAUUCUAUAUAUAUAUAUAUAUAUAUAUAUAUAUAUAUAUAUAUAUAUAUAUAUAUAUCUUCUUUUCAGUACAUGUACUUGUAACGAUAUCCAUUCUUACGACACGACGAGAUGCGCUUCUAUCCCUGACGAGGCCUUCGUGCCAAAUUGAGGAUAGGGUCGCAUCUUGGGCGUGACAUAGUGAAAAUUGCAGAAGUUUUUUGGAAUCUCAUAUGGGAUCCUUUAUAGAACGCAGAUCUCCGAAAUGGUCCGGAUGUAAAGAUUUAUAUAUGGGAAGUCAUAUUCAUGGUUCCGAAAAAGUUUGGGAAUUUUGAGGUAGAAUACCGAAAAGGUUCUAGAAGGUUUAGGGGUUCGACCGUGGGGCCCAACGACCCAGGAAGGGCCCACAUGGACCGAGGGGUGGGGCUACAACCCAGAUGGGCUGGCUGCACCAUUCCCUAAGGCACAUGUCGUUUAAAUGUAGAGGUAGAUCUUAUCUCUAAAUUUAAAGGGUUGAAUCUAGAGAUAAGAUGGUAUCUUCAUGCUUAAAGGGUUUUCUCCCUUGUGGCCGGCCCUAGGAGGGUUUUUGGAUGGCCUUCCCUGCCCUCUAGACUAUAUAUAGAUGGAGGAGGUGCAUGGGGGCAGCCAACCCUUCACCCUUGGUCAUUGGCUCUCCUGAUUCCUCCCACGUUUCUGCGGUACGCGCUUGGCAAAGCACUGCUAAAAUUCCACUACCACCACCACCACCAUGUCGUCGUGUUGGUUCAGAUCUCAUCUACACAUUCUCCUUAUUUUACAGGAUCAAGAGGGAGGAUAUGUCACUGAGUCGGACAUGUGCUAAACUCGGAGGUGCCACACGUGCGGUACUUGGAUCGGAUUGGAUCGCGAUGCGAGUAUGACUACAGCAACCACGAUCUCUAGAUCGUUAAUGCUUUCGGUCUACAAGGGUAUGUAGACACCUCUCCCUGUCAUUGCUAGCAUAUCAAUAGAAUAGAUCUUGGGUGUUUCAUAGGAAUUUCUUUUCCAUACAACGCUCCCAGCAGCCGUAUGUGCAGUAAUGUAUCGAUGUAGAGGAAUCGAUAGGAUGCAUUGACCGAGGGUGCUGGUUUACCAUGAUAUACCCCAUUCCGACGUGCCAAUUUUGCCAGAGUGUCAUGAUGACAGGAAGUCAAACUUCAUCUUGAUAGCCAACAAGCAAUUAAAUGAUCCAUUAUUUGCGUGUGUUAGCGAUAGUGUCCAACUUAGAGCAAGUACA
rnacentral:lncRNA from 1 species